GUGGGGAAUAUUGCACAAUGGGGGAAACCCUGAUGCAGCAACGCCGCGUGAGUGAUGACGGUCUUCGGAUUGUAAAGCUCUGUCUUUAGGGACGAUAAUGACGGUACCUAAGGAGGAAGCCACGGCUAACUACGUGCCAGCAGCCGCGGUAAUACGUAGGUGGCAAGCGUUGUCCGGAUUUACUGGGCGUAAAGGGAGCGUAGGUGGAUAUUUAAGUGGGAUGUGAAAUACCCGGGCUUAACCUGGGUGCUGCAUUCCAAACUGGAUAUCUAGAGUGCAGGAGAGGAAAGGAGAAUUCCUAGUGUAGCGGUGAAAUGCGUAGAGAUUAGGAAGAAUACCAGUGGCGAAGGCGCCUUUCUGGACUGUAACUGACACUGAGGCUCGAAAGCGUGGGGAGCAAACAGGAUUAGAAACCCCAGUAGUCC
rnacentral:rRNA from 2 species